rnacentral:rRNA from 1 species
ACGAACGCUGGCGGCUGCUUAACACAUGCAAGUCGAACGGAGUGGCGAAAGGGUGAGUAACGCGUGAGCAACCUGCCUAUGACAGUGGGAUAGCCUCGGGAAACCGGGAUUAAUACCGCAUAGUCAUAGAUGGGCUCGCGUCUGAUUAGCUAGUUGUUGAGAUAACAGCCCACCAAGGGGACGAUCAGUAGCCGGUCUGAGAUGAUGAACGUCAACGUUGGAACUGAGACACGGUCCAAACUCCUACGGGAGGCAGCAGUGGGGAAUAUUGCACAAUGGGGGAAACCCUGAUGCAGCGACGCCUCGUGAACUCAGAAGGUAUUCGUAUCGUAAAGUUCUGUCCUAUGGUAAGCAGUACCAUAGAAGAAAGCUCCGGCUAAAUCCGUGCCAGCAGCCACGGUAAUAC